GCAUGUCGAACGAAGUACUUUUAUACUUAGCGGCGAAUGGGUGAGUAACCCGUACCUAAUCUACCCCUAGGAUUGGGAUAACUAUCGGACACGAUAUCUAAUACCGAAUAUUCUUUACCUACAUAUGUAGGUUUAGUAAAAGGUCCGUUUGGACCACCUAGGGAUGAGGGUGCGCUACAUUAGUUAGUUGGUAGGGUAAUGGACUACCAAGACGAUGAUGUAUAGCGGGGUCGAGAGGCUGAAC
rnacentral:rRNA from 1 species